CAGAAAGAGGAUCAUCUGACGUGAGCCACUCCCUGGACCUGGUGUGUGUGGAAUGCCCUGAAGGAAGAGAGGAGGACAUCGCCACUUCUAAGAGGAGGCCACUGCUACUUCUGUCGCUCCACUCAUCUCUGUGAAGAAGAAAGAAAAUAUGAAGACAAAACGACAGUGGUGAUCCCUUCUCAAGGCUCACGCUCUGGAGAUAAGGACAGGAGAGGAAUCGAGAUAACGCAGAGGCCCAGACAUACCCC